AUGGAAAAGAAAUGCAAAAAAGCAAAAUGGCUGUCUGGGGAGGCCUUACAAAUAGCUGUGAAAAGAAGAGAGGCAAAAAGCAAAGGAGAAAAGGAAAGAUAUAAGCAUGUGAAUGCAGAGUUCCAAAGAAUAGCAAGAAGAAAUAAGAUAGCCUCCUUCAGGGAUCAGUGCAAAGAAAUAGAGGAAAACAACAGAAUGGGAAAGACUAGAGAUCUCUUCAAGAAAAUUAGAGAUACCAAGGGAACAUUUCAUGCAAAGAUGGGCUCGAUAAAAGACAGAAAUGGUAUGGACAUAACAGAAGCAGAAGAUAUUAAGAAGAGGUGGCAAGAAUACAGAGAAACACUAUACAAAAAAGAUCUUCAUGACCAAGACAAUCAUGAUGGUGUGAUCACUCACCUAGAGCCAGACAUCCUGAAAUGUGAAGUCAAGUGGGCCUUGGAAAGCAUCACUAUGAACAAAGCUAGUGGAAGUGAUGGAAUUCCAGUUGAGCUAUUUCAAAUCCUGAAAGAUGAUGCUGUGAAAUUGCUACACUCAAUAUGCCAGCAAAUUUGGAAAACUCAUCAGUGGCCACAGGCCUGGAAAAGGUCAGUUAUCAUUCCAAUCCCUAAGAAAGGCAAUGCCAAAGAAUGCUCAAACUACCGCACAAUUGCACUUAUCUCACACGCUAGUAAAGUAAUGCUCAAAAUUCUCCAAGCCAGGCUUAAGCAAUACGUGAACUGUGAACUCCCUGAUGUUCAAGCUGGUUUUAGAAAAAGCAGAGGAACCAGAGAUCAAAUUGCCAACAUCUGCUGGAUAAUGGAAAAGGCAAGAGAGUUCCAGAAAAACAUCUAUUUCUGCUUUAUUGACUAUGCCAAAGCCUUUGACUGUGUGGAUCACAAGAAACUGUGGAAAAUUCUGAAAGAGAUGGGAAUACUAGACCACCUGACCUGCCUCUUGAGAAAUCUGUAUGCAGGUCAGGAAGCAACAGUUAGAACUGGACAUGGAACAACAGACUGGUUCCAAAUAGGAAAAGGAGUACGUCAAGGCUGUAUAUUGUCACCCUGCUUAUUUAACUUAUAUGCAGAGUACAUCAUGAGAAACGCUGGACUGGAAGAAGCACAAGCUGGAAUCAAGCUUGCCAGGAGAAAUAUCAAUAACCUCAGAUAUGAAGAUGACACCACCCUUAUGGCAGAAAAUGAAGAGGAACUCAAAAGCCUCUUGAUGAAAGUGACAGAGGAGAGUGAAAAAGGUUGCUUAAAGCUCAACAUUCAGAAAACGAAGAUCAUGGCAUCUGGUGCCAUCACUUCAUGGGAAAUAGAUGGGGAAAUAGUGGAAACAGUGUCAGACUUUAUUUUAGGGGGCUUCAAAAUCACUGCAGGUGCUGACUGCAGCCAUGAAAUUAAAAGAUGCUUACUCCUUGGAAGAAAAGUUAUGACCAACCUAGAUAGCAUAUUGAAAAGCAGAGACAUUACUUUGCCAACAAAGGUCCAUCUAGUCAAGGCUUUGGUUUUUCCUGUGGUCAUGUGUGGAUGUGAGAUUUGGACCGUGAAGAAACCUGAGCGCUAA
rnacentral:lncRNA from 1 species